UACGUAGGCAGCAAGCGUUGUUCGGAGUUACUGGGCGUAAAGAGUGCGUAGGCGGUCCUUUAAGUUUGGUGUGAAAUCUCCCGGCUCAACUGGGAGGGUGCGCCGAAAACUGGAGGGCUUGAGUGUGGGAGAGGCAAGCGGAAUUCCUGGUGUAGCGGUGAAAUGCGUAGAUAUCGGAAGGAACACCAGUGGCGAAAGCGGCUUCCUGGUCCAGCACCGACGUUCAGGCACGAAAGCGUGGGGAGCAAACAGG
rnacentral:rRNA from 1 species